CUCUUAAAACAUUAAUAUUGUUUUUGACUGACUGAUUGAUAGAGGAGCUUUACUGAACAUGUUCAAAUUGUACGCAAGACAAUAGGAUGUUAAUAAUUAAUUAAACAACUGCAAAUUAUAAAGAACACAAUGGUCAUACAGCCGAGGCUAUUUUAGCAUUUUGUCAU